UUUGGUUAAGUUAGAAAGGGCGCACGGUGGAUGCCUUGACACUAGGAGUCGAUGAAGGACGGGACUAACGCCGAUAUGCUUCGGGGAGCUGUAAGUAAGCUUUGAUCCGAAGAUUUCCGAAUGGGGAAACCCACCAUACGUAAUGGUAUGGUAUCCUUAUCUGAAUACAUAGGGUAAGGAAGACAGACCCAGGGAACUGAAACAUCUAAGUACCUGGAGGAAGAGAAAGCAAAUGCGAUUUCCUGAGUAGCGGCGAGCGAAACGGAACAUAGCCCAAACCAAGAGGCUUGCCUCUUGGGGUUGUAGGACAUUCUAUACGGAGUUACAAAGGAACGAGGUAGACGAAGCGACCUGGAAAGGUCCGUCGUAGAGGGUAACAACCCCGUAGUCGAAACUUCGUUCUCUCUUGAAUGUAUCCUGAGUACGGCGGAACACGUGAAAUUCCGUCGGAAUCUGGGAGGACCAUCUCCCAAGGCUAAAUACUCCCUAGUGAUCGAUAGUGAACCAGUACCGUGAGGGAAAGGUGAAAAGCACCCCGGAAGGGGAGUGAAAGAGAUCCUGAAACCGUGUGCCUACAAAUAGUCAGAGCCCGUUAACGGGUGAUGGCGUGCCUUUUGUAGAAUGAACCGGCGAGUUACGAUCCCGUGCGAGGUUAAGCUGAAGAGGCGGAGCCGCAGCGAAAGCGAGUCUGAAUAGGGCGUUUAGUACGUGGUCGUAGACCCGAAACCAGGUGAUCUACCCAUGUCCAGGGUGAAGUUCAGGUAACACUGAAUGGAGGCCCGAACCCACGCACGUUGAAAAGUGCGGGGAUGAGGUGUGGGUAGCGGAGAAAUUCCAAUCGAACCUGGAGAUAGCUGGUUCUCCCCGAAAUAGCUUUAGGGCUAGCCUUAAGUGUAAGAGUCUUGGAGGUAGAGCACUGAUUGGACUAGGGGUCCUCAUCGGAUUACCGAAUUCAGUCAAACUCCGAAUGCCAAUGACUUAUCCUUAGGAGUCAGACUGCGAGUGAUAAGAUCCGUAGUCAAAAGGGAAACAGCCCAGACCGCCAGCUAAGGUCCCAAAGUGUGUAUUAAGUGGAAAAGGAUGUGGAGUUGCUUAGACAACUAGGAUGUUGGCUUAGAAGCAGCCACCAUUUAAAGAGUGCGUAAUAGCUCACUAGUCGAGUGACUCUGCGCCGAAAAUGUACCGGGGCUAAAUACACCACCGAAGCUGCGGAUUGAUACCAAUGGUAUCAGUGGUAGGGGAGCGUUCUAAGGACAGUGAAGUCAGACCGGAAGGACUGGUGGAGUGCUUAGAAGUGAGAAUGCCGGUAUGAGUAGCGAAAGACGGGUGAGAAUCCCGUCCACCGAAUGCCUAAGGUUUCCUGAGGAAGGCUCGUCCGCUCAGGGUUAGUCAGGACCUAAGCCGAGGCCGACAGGCGUAGGCGAUGGACAACAGGUUGAUAUUCCUGUACCACCUCUUUAUCGUUUGAGCAAUGGAGGGACGCAGAAGGAUAGAAGAAGCGUGCGAUUGGUUGUGCACGUCCAAGCAGUUAGGCUGAUAAGUAGGCAAAUCCGCUUAUCGUGAAGGUUGAGCUGUGAUGGGGAAGCUCCUUAUGGAGCGAAGUCUUUGAUUCCCCGCUGCCAAGAAAAGCUUCUAGCGAGAUAAAAGGUGCCUGUACCGCAAACCGACACAGGUAGGCGAGGAGAGAAUCCUAAGGUGUGCGAGAGAACUCUGGUUAAGGAACUCGGCAAAAUGACCCCGUAACUUCGGGAGAAGGGGUGCUUUCUUAACGGAAAGCCGCAGUGAAUAGGCCCAAGCGACUGUUUAGCAAAAACACAGCUCUCUGCGAAGCCGUAAGGCGAAGUAUAGGGGGUGACACCUGCCCGGUGCUGGAAGGUUAAGGAGAGGGGUUAGCGUAAGCGAAGCUCUGAACUGAAGCCCCAGUAAACGGCGGCCGUAACUAUAACGGUCCUAAGGUAGCGAAAUUCCUUGUCGGGUAAGUUCCGACCCGCACGAAAGGUGUAACGAUUUGGGCACUGUCUCAACCAGAGACUCGGUGAAAUUAUAGUACCUGUGAAGAUGCAGGUUACCCGCGACAGGACGGAAAGACCCCGUGGAGCUUUACUGUAGCCUGAUAUUGAAUUUUGGUACAGUUUGUACAGGAUAGGCGGGAGCCUUUGAAACCGGAGCGCUAGCUUCGGUGGAGGCGCUGGUGGGAUACCGCCCUGACUGUAUUGAAAUUCUAACCUACGGGUCUUAUCGACCCGGGAGACAGUGUCAGGUGGGCAGUUUGACUGGGGCGGUCGCCUCCUAAAGUGUAACGGAGGCGCCCAAAGGUUCCCUCAGAAUGGUUGGAAAUCAUUCGUAGAGUGCAAAGGCAUAAGGGAGCUUGACUGCGAGACCUACAAGUCGAGCAGGGACGAAAGUCGGGCUUAGUGAUCCGGUGGUUCCGCAUGGAAGGGCCAUCGCUCAACGGAUAAAAGCUACCCCGGGGAUAACAGGCUUAUCUCCCCCAAGAGUCCACAUCGACGGGGAGGUUUGGCACCUCGAUGUCGGCUCAUCGCAUCCUGGGGCUGUAGUCGGUCCCAAGGGUUGGGCUGUUCGCCCAUUAAAGCGGUACGCGAGCUGGGUUCAGAACGUCGUGAGACAGUUCGGUCCCUAUCCGUCGUGGGCGUAGGAAAUUUGAGAGGAGCUGUCCUUAGUACGAGAGGACCGGGAUGGACGCACCGCUGGUGUACCAGUUGUUCUGCCAAGGGCAUAGCUGGGUAGCUAUGUGCGGAAGGGAUAAGUGCUGAAAGCAUCUAAGCAUGAAGCCCCCCUCAAGAUGAGAUUUCCCAUAGCGUAAGCUAGUAAGAUCCCUGAAAGAUGAUCAGGUUGAUAGGUUCGAGGUGGAAGCAUGGUGACAUGUGGAGCUGACGAAUACUAAUAGAUCGAGGACUUAACCAUAUAA
rnacentral:rRNA from 1 species